UACAGAGACCUCAAGCGUUAUCCGGAAUCUUGGGCGUAAAGCGUUCCGACAGGUGGUUUUACAAGUCAGAAGUGAAAUCUUUCAGCUUAACUGGAAGACUGUCUUUGAAACUGUAAAACUUAGAGGGGCAAAGAGGAAGCUGGAACAAGCGGUGUAGUAGUGAAAUGCGUUGAUAUCGCUUGGAAACACCAAUAGCGUAGGCAGGCUUCUGG
rnacentral:rRNA from 1 species